rnacentral:tRNA from 1 species
AAGGGAGACCUAAUUCAGGUAGGAGACGAGAAAAAAGUAGUCGCUACCAAGAAUCAAUCCCAAAAGGUCGGAGCGAGGCGAAAUUGGCUUUCAAACUAGGUUCUGGGUUCAAACAAGACCUGAAUCAGGAACAAGGGCUAUUAGCUCAGGUGGUUAGAGCGCACCCCUGAUAAGGGUGAGGUCCCUGGUUCGAGUCCAGGAUGGCCCACCUGCACAGGUGGCAAAAACAAGAGAAGCGAGGAAUCAGCACCUUAUCUUACUGACAUAGUAAGAGAGAAUGCUGGCUCUGAGUAAAGAGUCCAGAGGAACCUUGAAAACUGCAUAGAGCUAGGUGAAAAAGCCAAAAAAGAAGACCGCAA